UACGUAGGGCGCAAGCGUUAUCCGGAAUUAUUGGGCGUAAAGAGCUUGUAGGCGGUUUGUCGCGUCUGCUGUGAAAUUUCGGGGCUCAACCCCGAACUUGCAGUGGGUACGGGCAGACUAGAGUGUGGUAGGGGAGACUGGAAUUCCUGGUGUAGCGGUGAAAUGCGCAGAUAUCAGGAAGAACACCCGUGGCUAAGGCGGCUCUCUGGACGGUACUGACGCUGAGGAGCGAAAGCGUGGGUAGCGAACAGG
rnacentral:rRNA from 1 species